AGGUUUUCACACCAGAAUGCUGUCCAAACAAUGAUAGGAGAUCAUACAGAUUCAUUUGCUCCUCAGAGGGUCUGUUUCAGUGCUGGUACACAGGACUGGUGUUCAAGAUGGAGACAGUGGGUGAAGUGCAGUACCAAACAGAAUCAUGGAACUGUGUACAGCUAGUCGAUGGCUAUGUACCAGCAGGACCCCUGUUUGAUAUUAAAUGUCCACAAGGCACUCUGUCACAGUUACACUUCCCACACUGUGAGAUUUCUUCUGGGAAAGGAUGCUUGUCAGUAAUUCACAUCAGUGACUCUGGAGAAUCCAAAAUACUUGAUCCACACGAGAUAACCGACAUUCAUGUGGUUCUAAAUAUCAGUGGAUGCUCUGAAUAUGGCUUGAUAAAGAAGGAACACUCCCCGAUCCAUGGACUUGUGUUGCUAUUCCUACAGCAGUCUACACUGAAUGUUCUGCUGUUGCCAAAGAAUGUUGAUAUUUCCGAGGUAUAUCAGAAAAGGAGGGAGAGGAUUGAACCAGAGGAAGAAAGAUAUGUGGAAACGACAUCAAACUGCACACUGGUUCCUGAAGAGAAAUACUGC